AAAGGAGGAAGAAAUUGUGAAACAGAGUGAACUAAGCCAACAGUUGAAAGAAAAAAAACCUCUGUCUGCAAGAUGGAUUGCCCCAGAUUAUUUCCAAGUUCGCGAAAUCUUACAAAUCUGAACAAGCACCUGAAAGAUGGGUAAAAGAGGAAGUUCAGAAUGCUUUGUCGAAGGUAGAACUGAGCCCAAGAAGAGUAAAACAACUAAGAGAGAAAAAAAGUCUUCUCUCUUGGCUGGUACAAGCCUG